GAGCAAAUGAUGAAUGAUUUAUUGUUUUGUUACGCUGAUUCUAAUCCAUGAUGCUUCAUAAUCGAUCUUUUUAAAGCUGAUGCUCA